ACUUGGAAGUGUAUAUUCUCUUCAUUUUGUUCCUUUUUCUCCAAACAUCCACAAUCCCAAGACAAACUUGACACUUUCAAUCAUGUGACACAAAGAAGAAAAACUCCUGUUAUGGUGAAGACCAACUUCAGCUUCUGACUGACUGAAUCGAGACAAGAUGCCAAGACGAAAGCUUUCCAGGGGUGGAGGCAGGCCUUUCCGGGAGUAUUCCAAGCUUACUGGUGAAGAGAAGAGGGAAUAUCGCACUCAUGCAACCCAAGUUCAUAAGCUGAGACAAAAGGACCUGUCAAGGAAUCUUCAGAGGAACAAGCAAUACCGAAAGCUAGAGGGCGACCACCUCUCCAUGAUGAAGCAAUGACUCCAUAAAACCAUAAAAGUUUUUGCGUAAAUGAUUCCAUUUUCAGAUUCCCGAGAAAAUUUGACCCUAGAUUGAUAUAUUUUUAGUCCAUGAAACAGAAAUUGAUUUUUUGCCCUAAAUGUCACUAAAAUGUAACUAGAACCUCGAACCUCGGCGUAUGGAGUGGAGCUUCAUCCACCAUCUUGUCUGCAGAUGGUUGAAUCUCACUCUUUUGGUUUUGUAUCUCCAUCAUGCCCUCUGGUCUUUGCUGCUUUCUGUUUUGUCUUUGUUACUGACACACUUGUGAUCCAUCUACUACACUAGAACUGACUAUUUGACUCUAGUUUUACCAGCUUUUACCCACCAGUCUGUCAACUGACAACCUUCUGAUGCCCAGGGAAAAAGAGAAGAGAAAAGGAGGAACGAAGCAGCAAAGACAGAGGCAAUUAAAGUAACAAUUAUGUCAAUCAGUUCAUGAUAUUAUUAUGCUGUUGCAGAACUAAUGAUAAUAUUGUUAACCUUUACCAUAAAUCUAUAAAUACCGAGGCGUGAGCGUGUUUUAAAGACAGUUUAUGUUACAGAACAUCAGUUUUUUAUGGUAAUUAGUUAUGUAACAACCACAACAGUUUCCUUCUCUAGUAAAAUGUGUAAAUAUUGGAUCAUGUUUCAUGAUGUGGAUUCCAUUGAUGUAGUUUUCUCCCUUUUUUCCAUCUUGUUAAAGUCGAUCAAAAUCCCAUUUAUUUUUCCACAGUCAAAGGUUUAUGGCUGUUUGUUGUGUUACAGUUGAUAUUGUCUGCAGCCCAUUUAUCAUGUAUUUUUCAUCAGUAGAAAUAUUAAAGUACACAUCAUUAUAUUAUCAUACAUAACAUUACCACAUCCUAUAUUUACUGCAGUUUUACUGAAUCUUUGCAUUCCCAUCAUUUACUGUAAUGACAAUAACAUUGAAACUAUUACUAGUAUUUGAAUGACUGAUUUAAUUUGCUUAUCAGAAAAAGUUGGUUGAAUAUUAUACAGAAUAGUCUUCAUCACACAUGUAUCUCUACAUUUUUGUGUAUUUAUUUUUAUUCUGUUCUUAUAAUCAUGUGUUUAUUAGAUGAUUGUCACAUUCUCUCUUCUGACAAAUGUGCUGCUGAGGUUUUUCAGUCCAUCCUCUGCAAAUCUUCCAGUCACUUACACAUCAGCAUUGCCAGCUUUAUUUCUACAGAACUUUUCAAAACAAUCUAAUAAAACUAGAAAUAAUUAGCCAUAAGCUGCCAUUUAGGUGUUGCAAAUCUUCAAUAACUGAACCGAGUGGUUAAAAUGUUUAAAGGUGUUCAUUUUUUUGGUUUUUGUUUCUUUAAAUACAUUUUUAGUAUUUUGAUGUUCAGUUACAUUAUUUAAAUAAAAGAAUGUCAGAGAUAUGUGAUGAAGCUUCUUUUGAGUUUCUACACUAGCAGUGGAAUUUACUGUGAUGAAGGGGGUCCCACCAAAAAAAGAACUGAAAGUCUGCCAGCACAGAUGCUGUUUGUAAAAGCUGCUAAAAUAGUGAAUUAUUUGAUUAAUUGAUGAAGUUCACCUGAUGGUCGCUGUAAAAAGGGAUACAGUUGUUGUUCAUAAAGAAAGCCUUUAAACAAAUCUACGUUGAGUUUUUUUCCGUUUCAGUCAGAAAACUUUCAAACUUCAGUGGAAAGUUUUCAAACUCAGGAUGUCUUCAGAGUCCUGCACUUCUCCAUGCAGACACCAGAGGGCUCUAUAGAGUCAACCUGGGCUCCAACCCUUUCCGGGUUCUGCUCUUCUCCAUGCAGCUUCCUUUUAGGAUUCAGUUUGUUGUUGCUUUUGUGUUUGAUGUUUUCAACCUGGAGGAAUCAGCAGCAUUUGUGCUGUGAUGUAGGCGACUAAACGUGGAUUUGUGGUAAAUAUCAUGGCUCAAAAUGGGAAAAGAGUCAAACAAAGGGUAAAAAAAAAACAAA